GGAGCAGCGGGGCGGGCGCCGCCACCGGCGACGCGGGGCCCGCCGCGCCGCCCGAGGGGGAGGGGGACGACCGGGGCAGGGAGCCGCAGGUCGCGGUGGCGAUGGACACAGAAUAAGCUCCAGCGAACGGCUGCGGCCGGCUGACAUCCGUGACCCAGUGGACACAGUGAACCCUUCCAAGACCUUCACGACGUCCAUCUGUCCCUCGGUCCCGACCGUAGCCUUCCUUCCUCCGGCCCGUUGGACACGGAAAGACUUGCCUUGGCCAGUGUUCGAGGUUGCUUGUUGACUGGUACUUAAACUAAUUGCAACAGUUUAAUUGACCAUUGGUAUGCCUUAUGUCAUUGAAAUAAGCUUUACAUAGGUACACUGUCAAGAAACUUCUAUGCCAUGCUUUAGAGAAACCCGAGCUUUCCCUUUAAUACAAUAUUCACUUCUAGGCAUUAACUUCUACUAAUAAAAUUGAACACAAGUGGCAAUACCACUAGAUUGCCAAUUUUUAUCGCUCGUAUUUCAAAAGCAUUUCGCUGUUUUCCCACAGAUUUUCGAGUGCAGAAAUCGAGCGCUUAAACCGCAAAAAUCGGUCGUAUUAGCCAAUUUUUGAAAAUGAUUAAUUGCCAUACAAUUAAAUUCUUAAAAUGUGUUAGAAACAUUGCAUUGAAACUUGGAAACGAACCCAGAUUACUAUACGAAACUUUAGUAUCUAAAUAUAUCUCGGGUUUCUCGGGCGCUGUGUAUUGCCCUGACUAUAGUUUGCUUUGGUAGAAACUAACUAAUGAAAUUCGAAUUAAAAUCAUUAUACCAAGAAAAUUUCGAAAAUACUAGAACUACCAGUAACUUGAUAUCUUGAGCACUGGCCAAGGAAGAACAAAAGUGAAAAUUGUAUUUUGCAUUUUUAUUAAGUAUCUAUUGUUUAUUUCUGUGUAAAAUAAAGCACGCAUAUCUUUAUAA